CCACUCUCUGUCUCUCUUCCAGCUCUCUUUCUCUCUCUCUUCCAUUCUCUACUUCAAAACCCAAGGCACCACAGGUCUCUCUUCCAGCUCUCUUUCUCUCUCUCUUCCAUUCUCUGCUUCAAAACCCAAGGCACCACAGAUCUAAGAACCCAAGCAUGGCCACCACAUAUCUGAGAUCUCCAUGAUCUCCACCUACCUCAAUCUAUUUUCUAAUCUUUAUCAUAAAAUGAAUAUUUCAGUUCUGGGUUAUCAGUGAAUAGAGAAUGAGAGGAGAAUAAGUCGAUUUGACGAAUGACGA